rnacentral:rRNA from 2 species
UCCAGGCAAAUCCGGAUAAUCAAGGCUGAGGUGUGAUGACGAGGCACUACGGUGCUGAAGUAACAAAUGCCCUGCUUCCAGGAAAAGCCUCUAAGCAUCAGGUAACAUCAAAUCGUACCCCAAACCGACACAGGUGGUCAGGUAGAGAAUACCAAGGCGCUUGAGAGAACUCGGGUGAAGGAACUAGGCAAAAUGGUGCCGUAACUUCGGGAGAAGGCACGCUGGUGUGUAGGUGAAGUCCCUGCGGAUGGAGCUGAGACCAGUCGAAGAUACCAGCUGGCUGCAACUGUUUAUUAAAAACACAGCACUGUGCAAACACGAAAGUGGACGUAUACGGUGUGACGCCUGCCCGGUGCCGGAAGGUUAAUUGAUGGGGUUAUCCGUAAGGAGAAGCUCUUGAUCGAAGCCCCGGUAAACGGCGGCCGUAACUAUAACGGUCCUAAGGUAGCGAAAUUCCUUGUCGGGUAAGUUCCGACCUGCACGAAUGGCGUAAUGAUGGCCAGGCUGUCUCCACCCGAGACUCAGUGAAAUUGAACUCGCUGUGAAGAUGCAGUGUACCCGCGGCAAGACGGAAAGACCCCGUGAACCUUUACUAUAGCUUGACACUGAACAUUGAGCCUUGAUGUGUAGGAUAGGUGGGAGGCUUUGAAGCGUGGACGCCAGUCUGCGUGGAGCCAACCUUGAAAUACCACCCUUUAAUGUUUGAUGUUCUAACGUUGGCCCCUGACCGGGGUUGCGGACAGUGUCUGGUGGGUAGUUUGACUGGGGCGGUCUCCUCCCAAAGCGUAACGGAGGAGCACGAAGGUUAGCUAAUCCUGGUCGGACAUCAGGAGGUUAGUGCAAUGGCAUAAGCUAGCUUGACUGCGAGCGUGACGGCGCGAGCAGGUGCGAAAGCAGGUCAUAGUGAUCCGGUGGUUCUGAAUGGAAGGGCCAUCGCUCAACGGAUAAAAGGUACUCCGGGGAUAACAGGCUGAUACCGCCCAAGAGUUCAUAUCGACGGCGGUGUUUGGCACCUCGAUGUCGGCUCAUCACAUCCUGGGGCUGAAGUAGGUCCCAAGGGUAUGGCUGUUCGCCAUUUAAAGUGGUACGCGAGCUGGGUUUAGAACGUCGUGAGACAGUUCGGUCCCUAUCUGCCGUGGGCGCUGGAGAAUUGAGGGGGGCUGCUCCUAGUACGAGAGGACCGGAGUGGACGCAUCACUGGUGUUCGGGUUGUCAUGCCAAUGGCACUGCCCGGUAGCUAAAUGCGGAAGAGAUAAGUGCUGAAAGCAUCUAAGCACGAAACUUGCCCCGAGAUGAGUUCUCCCUGAGACUUUAAGUCUCCUGAAGGAACGUUGAAGACGACGACGUUGAUAGGCCGGGUGUGUAAGCGCAGCGAUGCGUUGAGCUAACCGGUACUAAUGAACCGUGAGGCUUAACC